AAAGCUUUGUUAUGAAGAAAGUUCUAGGUGUAUUUAAUAAUGAUCCGGCUUUCUCCCCUGAUUCUGCUAAAGUGAGCUCUGAGGAACAUUUCACUGUGAGAAUAUAAUGGAGUUCUUCUUGAUAAAUCCGACAAAAUUGUGUGGCUUCCUCGCAAAACUGCAGGGCCAGGGAAUUUCUUAUUCUCAUCCUAGUUCAAACUCUACCUGCAGAAGUUAAUCAAAUUUUGCAUUUUAGGUUUCUGUUCAAUCCACAGCUUCUUCUCCAGGUUUUUCUUGCUGAAAGAAUGUGAGUGAUGACUUCAAAAAUUUUUACACACGGACCUGAAACUAUUCUCUACAGACGGUGCAGCCUAAUAUCUCCCAGACUAGCACUUCCCAUGGCCCUGCACUUGGGGCCUCACUGCCUGGUAGAAAUGAAG
rnacentral:lncRNA from 1 species